rnacentral:rRNA from 1 species
UACAGAGGUCUCAACCGUUGUUCGGAUUCAUUGGGCGUAAAGGGUGCGUAGGCGGUCGCGCAAGUCGGAUGUGAAAUCUCAGGGCUCAACCCUGAAACUGCAUUCGAUACUGCGUGGCUAGAGUGCUGGAGGGGAGACUGGAAUUCUCGGUGUAGCGGUGAAAUGCGUAGAUAUCGAGAGGAACACCUGCGGCGAAGGCGGGUAGCUGGGCCGACACUGACGCUGAGGCGCGAAAGCCAGGGGAGCGAACGGG